rnacentral:tRNA from 1 species
CCGAGAGAGUUACAAGAGCUGCUAACUCUUGAACCCAUGAUUAAAACCCAUGGCUUUCUC